rnacentral:lncRNA from 1 species
GUUUUUCGUUUACUCUUGCCAGAAUGCCAUUGUUUCGGCAAUGCACAUUAAAUUGCCGUAUAAUGCCGUAAAGUGGUUCUUAUUACACAUUUUUUCAAUACGAAGUUAGAUGUGUAGUCAAAUGGAAUUCGUAAGAUAUCAAAUACAAGCUUGAAGAAGAUAAAAACGGUAACCAAUGAUAAAUUAAUACUGAAAGGAUCAUAAUGUGCAUAUUGUCACAUUACCACGUCAUAGAAUAUGUCCAUGUUUUAAUGGUUAUAUUGUUGGUUUCGGGAUCACAUGCUGCAGCUAAACUCUGGAAUGAUGGGCAAAAUAACAUGAUUUCCAACGAGACGGCGAUUUACUACAUUGAAGGGGUCCGUAUGGGAAUCAUCAAUCCAGAAAAAUACUCCCUUCAAUCGUUCGAACAACAUGAGAGGG